GCAAGGAGGCACAGUGCUGGAGCUGCACCUUCAAGAGGGAAUAGCAAAUGGAUGCCAUCAGCUUCUGCAUGGUCUGAGUGGGAAGCUUAAAGGGUUGGAGGGAGCCAAAGCCUUGUCAGACACACUCAAAGGAGCAUCGCUUGUGCAGAAGUUUGUUAAAUCUGGAUGUGCAACUUUUUGUGCUCUUAAAACAGAUGCUCGCUCUCAGAGAAAAAGACAAGAAAGCCUCUGCAGUCAGCAAGUAAUAAGAAUUGCUGUUAGGCUUUGAUCUUCAGAUCUUAGAAUUGAGAUCUUUCUAGCAAAUGUGCUUGCAAUUAAUAAUAAUAAUAAUAAUAAUUAAAAAACCCAACAGUACAAAACAUUCCAACAAGGGAAGAAAAUUUCUUAAAAUAUUUUGGCCUGAAGGUGAGUAAACUUGCUUGAUUAAUCAAUUUUAUAUCACCUUGCACAAAUUAAACAAGAAGUUCAGAAAUUACUGAAGCUUUAACACUUAGAAUAAAGAAGAUGGGAGAAUUUAAAAGUGUUUGCUUUUAUUUUAUGACAUUUUUGAUUCCAUGAGAAAAGUAACUUUCCUCUCCCUAUCAGAGCCAGAUUGUUAUUUUGUUAAAAUAAUUAUUUUAUUCCCCAAAGGGCUGAUUUGCUGAAGAUUAAUUUGACACUAACAAUGGGGCUUAGCUAGGCUGCCCCUUUACCAGCUCAUCUCAUCUAUCCAAGGAUCAUUUAUUCUAGCCAGGUCAUCUUGCACUUUUUAGAGAAAAAACUGUUCUUGACACCUGCCUCUGCAAAAUUCUUUUUAUCCCCUUACAGUGGAAGGUGUGACCAUCUGAGAGCUAAAAUGCUGGAGAAUGGGGAGUGCCUUCCCAGAAUACUGGAGAUCCUGUUCCAUUAUACUCAUAUAAGCUAGGUUGCAGAAGCAUUUCUCACCACUGAUGCUGCUGGGCGAAAGAAAUGAACGUGAUUGAUUAUGACUUUGAUACACCUGAGGAACAGAGAAAAUUCAGUAAACAUCUCUGUGUUUCUGUCUGUCAACAGGAUAGAGGUAACUUGCCUAAUGUCAGCAUGCAUGACUUUUUCUGUUUGGAUGGAUGGGACGGACUUCUGAUCUGACACACCUGUUCCAGUAUCCUGGGCCCAUAAUCAAGUCUUUUUUCUGCGUAAUCAAGAGAGCGGUUAAACAGCUGAGAGUCAUAAAAGAACAGGAAGAAUUUUAAGAUGCAGAGAAAUUAAAUUUGCUCCAGUUUUCAAAGGAUUAAUCCAGCCCUCAUCUCUCCUUUGACAUCUCUUGGCUACAUCCAAAUAGUCGUCUGCCUGUUCUUCCUCCACAAAAUAUGAAGGGAUGUUACUUGGGCUACCUCAUUCCCUGCCGGUUGCUAAUGGAAAAUAGUACUGCUGUGCAGGGAGACUUGUUUUAUAGGUGUUUUUCUUCUAUCUGGUUUUACAGUUCUCUACCGCCACUGUUCAGCAUUCCCUGGAUUGCUCUGCCGUUCUCUGGCCAUCCAUAUAUGUUUUGCAAACUGAGUGACACAAAGGCCUCUAAAAAAGGAAACACCUCUCACAAAACACUUUGCACUGUUCAUUGCUAUUUCUCUUAAGACAGGAGAACGGUUGCCUCCUAUCACCCUUAAGUUCCAUUUAAAAGCUGGUCAAUCCUACUGGAUACACCAGCCUUCCACUGCUCAGUCCUGGUGCCCGCAUAAGGACAGCUUUACAAAAUGAGUACUCCCUUUUCCCCUGCUAGGGCUUGACACACACUUGUAAGAUUAACAGCUAUGGAAUCUAGUGUUGUUUUAUUUUGUCAUCAGUUUUCAGUGAUAUCAUAGUCUUUUCAUUCCAGCACCUUUCACUUCCCAGUCCUUAAACUAAUAUACUGAUCCCUAUUACUAAAUAAACCAGACUAUAUCACCACUUUUUAAGCUGAGAUGUAGUUUUUCCUCUGUCCUUCUCCUUGUACAUACACUAGACUGUGCAUAAACAGCAAAGCACAAGAACUUUACAGCAAGCAGUUCCAAGUCUAACUAGGGCCUAGAGUACUGCCUACCUGAUAGUUGUGUAUAAUUUAAAGAACACUAACUGCAGAAUUUCCAAGUACUUGAUUUAAAGAAUCUUAUAUUUUUAUUAAAGUAGUUUUGCAGACUG
rnacentral:lncRNA from 7 species